AGCAGCCGCGGUAAUUCCAGCUCCAAUAGCGUAUAUUAAAGUUGUUGCAGUUAAAAAGCUCGUAGUUGAAUUUCGGGGUUCUACCGUUGGUCGGGCAAUAGUCUGUACUGGCGUGUGGAAUUUCUACCUUCUGGGGAACCAUCAUGUUAUUUAUUUAGCGUGGUGGGAAACCAGGACCUUUACCUUGAAAAAAUUAGAGUGUUCAAAGCAGGCUUACGUCUGAAUACAUUAGCAUGGAAUAAUAAAAUAGGACGGUGGU
rnacentral:rRNA from 1 species